GCAGGAUCUUAGUUCCCCGACCAGGGAUCGAACCCGUGCCCCCUGCAGUGGAAGUGCGGAGUCUCAACCACUGGACCACCAGAGGCCGAAUGAGCCACGCGUCUAAGAAUGACUCCCAGAACCAUACAGAACUGACCCACCAAGAGAGUCACUGUGAAUUCAAGAACACGCCCCUGAAGCUUCAGUCCAGGUAUCAGGAAGCUGCAGGUUGGAGAAGACGCUGCUCUUUUUGUCCAGCAAUUGGAAAUGGGCCUCCAGAAGUCACUGUGUCCAGUUUCUCAUCUUGGACAGAAAUACCCGCAUUCACCUUGUCCAGGGCCUCCCAUCCCUCCCAGCCAGGAAGUCUUUCCUGUUGUCUGAUUUGGAUUUGGGCUGAGGCAACAG